UCUAUCCAAGAUUGUUAGGGAUAUAUUUGCAGCUCCGAUGUCAAGUGUGCCUUCAGAAUCUGCAUUUAGUGCUGGGAAGCGAGUUGUCAAUCCUUUUCGGGCUUGUUUGAGUCCCAAAACAGUGGAGGCACUCAUUUGUUGCAAUGAUUGGAUUCGAUGCGAACCUUUCGACUUUUACAAGGAACCAACUGAAGAUUCGAUUGAAUUAUAUGAAUGGUGCGAACAAAUAGAAAAAGAAAUGGAAGCAUUGCAAAUUUUUGCAAGUAAAGAACCUACUGAAACUGCCCUUGCAAGUUCAAAGUGAGCCAGUGAGCACUACGUCACUGCCCAAUUGCUGCCCACUCCAGUACUACUGCCUACUUGCUGGCAGCUGCUACCUACUAUUGUUUACUACUUUACUUGUUUGAUUUUGAACCCUUUUGUUUUGGAAUUUGGAUGACUGUAUUCACUGUAAUAUUAUACACUUUGUUUGAUACUUGAGUGUUUUGAUACUUUGAUACUUGGUGGAUAGUUGGAUGACUGUAAUUGUGUUUGUGUUUUUAGUUCACUUUGAAUAUCGGAAGUUGGAACAAAUAUUAGUUAUUAUAGCUUUGAUAGUUUGAUUGAUACA